CCUACGGGAGGCUGCAGUGGGGAAUAUUGCACAAUGGGGGAAACCCUGAUGCAGCGACGCCGCGUGAGUGAAGAAGUAUUUCGGUACGUAAAGCUCUAUCAGCAGGGAAGAAAAAAAGUCCUUUGGACUUUGGACGGUAUCUGAAUAAGAAGCCACGGCAAACUACGUGCCAGCAGCCGCGGUAAUACGUAGGGGGCAAGCGUUAUCCGGAUUUACUGGGUGUAAAGGGAGCGUAGACGGCAGCGCAAGUCUGGAGUGAAAUGCCGGGGCCCAACCCCGGAACUGCUUUGGAAACUGUGCAGCUGGAGUGCAGGAGAGGUAAGCGGAAUUCCUAGUGUAGCGGUGAAAUGCGUAGAUAUUAGGAGGAACACCAGUGGCGAAGGCGGCUUACUGGACUGUAACUGACGUUGAGGCUCGAAAGCGUGGGGAGCAAACAGGAUUAGAUACCCCAGUAGUC
rnacentral:rRNA from 1 species